GGUCAACAAAUUUGGAUUAGGGACUUGGUCAAAGAUUGCGAACGAGAAUGCAGAGAACGUCCCAAUUGAAGUGAUGCAGUUGCUGGAAUCCGACGGUGAAGUGGGCGAAACUAGUGUGGUUGAAAUAGCAACGACAAGCUCAAUACCACCCGCAAACAAAAGUUGCCUUUUCUGGAUGCACCUCCACCUACGCCAUUAGUAUGUUCAAUUACAUUGCGGCAUUUAGAAUGGACUUCGUUAAACUUGUAUUCAACAGAUCCAUCCUGUGGACUUUUAUGAGUUGUCAUCAGCCAUGGUUCUAAAGCAUAUCCUGCAUCUCCUGGUGAGCUCGCAAUUCGCUGGUAUUCCAAAUGAAUGAAUCGUGGCACGCGCCGGGAUCUGAUGCGUCUACAUAUUGAAUCCUAAGCUCAUGGUCAUGGACCUGUAAUUUUUAUAUUAUUUAUCGCUAUGAGGAUCAAAUGAGGUGAAAAUUCUUACCAGCAUUCCUACAACCUGUAGUAUCCUUUCUUAUUGUAAUACAAAUGUUUAUUAGUACUGGGUGCGAUAAUUCGGACAUUCGGGUUCCGUCAACACAACCCAUAACACUUGGAAUACCAUGUUUUGUAUAAAAGCUCGUGCAAUUUUCCUUUUUUCAUUUUCUGUUCUGCAGAAUCUUAUCCAUCUUAGGCGUAGGUUUUCUUCAAAUAUCUGUAUCACUUCCGCCAGAACUUUGACAAGUCACAAUCUUUACCUAUUCCUGUUUGGUAACCACCUUCGACAAUGAGACGCAAUGCCGCACUUAACUACACUAUAGGGGCUACUGCAAACGUCUUUUGUGAUGGUAGAAUGUGGGAAUUUUUGAGACCAACGUAGACCACAGUCGUCACUACAUUGACGAUUUAUAAUACUUUUAGUAAUGUUCCCCUUUUACCAAACCGAUGGAUAACUCACAAACAGUUAUAUCAGCAGCCAAUACUACAUACAUAUAUGUUUUAUACACCAAACAUCUUUAAAAAUAUACCUAUUUCUAUGAAAUUUAGUUAAUAAACUUUUGAAAUCCCAAUAAAAACAAAGAAAUUAACAAAAAAUUA